rnacentral:lncRNA from 1 species
CAGGCCCAAAAGAGCUUUGGAAAUUAUUUUGAUUAUUCAAAAUAAAAUGCUGGAAGGAAAUUUCGACAUUGGCAUUAGAGAAAGGGCCCCUUUCUUUUUAAGCUGGAGAGCAUAAGACAUUUGGUGGUUGCUCUGGAAAGUCUCAGAAUGUGUACCCUCUCUCUGCAUCCCCCUAACACUCCUACUCACCCAUCCUCAGACCCCACCAAUAAUGAAGAACCCAAGUGUAUCUUUAUUAUGACUCUUUCAUCUUAUUGUGCAGAUCAGGCUAAAAUUUUUGACACAUUGCCUAAAAUAUAAAUGACCUCCUCUUUGGACAAAUAGGAAAGCUGGUUGGAAGCAGCUCAGUUCCAGUCAAAACGGUGUCCUCAGUUUAAAGUUGACAAAUAGUGCUGCAUGAAGCUUAGAAACUGAGAGGUUACCUUGACAGACAAGGAGCACAAUUAUCACAAUAUGAUGAAAGAGCUUCCAUGAGUAUGUAUUGCACCGUUAAUUACUGUCCUUUUUCUACAGGCUUCUAAUGUGAGGAAAAACACGGAAUGACAAGUGUGGGAAAGAGCAAGCACUAAAUUACUGUCAGAAAAAUAAACGGAGUAGCACAGUGGUGCUCAGUGAUUUACGGGGGCAAUUAGUCACCACCCCACGGCGCUGCUGAGGACAGCACGGCAGCAGACGAGUCAGGUCCACGAGGAAGAAGAGGCUUUGCACUGCUCUCCAGACAACUUUUCGAAGAACAAGAGAGGAUAUUUGAGCACAUUAGGUUGCCUGUCUUCAUUCUGGCUCCCUGCUGCCUCCAGAUUUCCUGAUGACCUCCAAUCAGUACCCCUAAUCUCUCUGGUACCUCUACGUGAAGAUGUGCCUGCUUCCCCUUCCAUCAUGAUUGAAAGUUUCCUGAAGCCUCUCCAGCUAUGCUUCCUGUACAGCCUGCAGAAUGGUGAGCCAAUUAAACCUCUUUUCUUUAUAAAUUACCCGGUCUCAUGUAUUUUCUUUCUUUUUUCUAGAUGAAGUCUUGCUCUGUUGCCCAGGAUGGAGUACAGUGGUACAAUCUUGGCUCACUGCAAUCUCCACCUCCUGGGUUCAAGCAAUUCCCCUGCCUUGGCCUCCUGAGUAGCUGGGAUUACAGGCACCUGCCACCACACUGAGCUAAUUUUUUUUUCUUUUUGUAUUUUUAGUAAAGACUGGGCUUCACCAUGUUGGCCAGGCUGGUGUUGAACUCCUGACCUUGUGAUCUUCCCGCCUCAGCCUCCCUAAGUGCUGGGAUUACAGGCGUGAGCCACUGCACCUGGCCUCAGGUAUUUCUUUAUAGCAGUGCAAGAAUGGAUUGAUACAGCUGGUUAAGAAAUUCUGUUCACUUAACAUUUUAAUUUGCUCAGUUCUAUGCGCCCAACACCAUAGGAGAUGCUGGUGAUGGUGCCUGCCAAUUAAAAAAGCU